AUGUCUCGCUAUGUCUUACUGUUCCUUACACUACUGAGUUUGACAUCUAUUUCACUAUCUUCAUCUUCAAAAGUGGAAGAUAUCAGCAACGGGACAAGAUGGGCAGUUUUGAUUGCUGGGUCAAGAGGAUAUGAUAACUAUAGGCAUCAGGCUGAUGUAUGCCAUGCAUACCAGAUACUGAAGAAAGGUGGACUCAAAGAUGAGAACAUCAUUGUGUUCAUGUAUGACGAUAUUGCAUUCAACCCCAGAAACCCUAGACCUGGUGUCAUUAUCAACAACCCAGAUGGAAGUGAUGUUUAUCAAGGAGUUCCCAAGGACUAUACAGGAAUGGAAGUUAAUUCGCUCAACUUCUAUGCUGUUCUUCUUGGCAACAGAAGUACCCUCUUCGGUGGUAGCGGCAAGGUCUAAACAGCAGUCCGAACGACCGCGUUUUCAUAUAUUACGCUGACCAUGGCAGUCCUGGGAUGGUUGGCAUGCCGAUUGUAGGUGAUUAUGUCUAUGCCAAAGAUCUCAUAGAUGUGCUGAAGAAGAAGCACGACGCAAGAGGUUACAAAAGCAUGGUGUUUUACAUGGAAGCUUGCGACUCAGGGAGCAUGUUUGAGGGUCUCCUUCCCAACAAUAUAAACAUAUAUGCAACUUCAGCGUCAAAUUCAAAAGAGAGCAGUUGGGGGUUCUAUUGUCCUGGAGACUUCCCUAGUCCUCCUCCAGGAUAUGAUGUUUGCUUGGGAGACUUGUAUAAUAUUUCUUGGUUGGAGGAUUGUGACGAGCAUGACUUGAGCAAAGAAACUUUUGCGAAGCAAUACGAAGUGGUACGAAGGAGAACUGCAGCAAAUGGCUACUUAGAUUCGAGCCAUGUUAUGCAAUUUGGGAAUAAAAGACUAAGCGAGGAAUUCAUCUUCACUUACAUGGGUACAAAUCCUGAAAAUGAUAACUAUACUUAUCUCGAGUACACUGCAUCACCAUCGACCUCAAGGCCAAGGGUUGUCAGCCAACGCAACGCAGACCUCCUCCAUUUUCGUUACAAGCAGUUCCACAAUGCUCCUGAUGGCUCCGAUGCCAAGCUUGAAGCUCACAAAGAGCUCGUGGAUGAAAUUUCUCGGAGGAAGAAGGUGGAUUAUCAUAUGAAGCAAAUUGGGAAGCUUUUGUUUGGGUAUGACAAGAGCUCAAAAGUGCUGACGAAUGUUAGACCUCCGGGGGAACCUCUAGUUGAUGAUUGGGACUGCUUUAAGAUGCUGGUGAAAACUUUUGAGAAACACUGCGGAUUUUUAUCAAACUAUGGAAGGAAACACACAAGAGCAAUUGCCAACAUGUGCAAUGCCGGAGCUACGCCGGAACAAAUGGCUGCCGCAUGUGUUCAAACCUGUCAUGCUUAA